GUAGUUGAUAAUAAUAUCUGCCACCCAACAGAAUUUGAUUUCUUCCUGUGCGGCCAUGCUGGGGCCAAGGGAACAAGCCGUCCUACGCAUUACCAUGUGCUACGAGAUGACAACAAGUUCACCGCAGAUGCUCUGUAGUCUCUAACAUAUAACUUGUGCUACAUCAAUCAAUUUACAGAGCAGAUGCUCUCUUGUUGACAACUCUCAUAAGAGUCGAUAAGUUUGUAGGUGUAACCCAAUGUAUCUUCAGCAGUUCUAAAGGACUGAACAUGUUACUAGAAAGAGGUGAAUGAAAGGACUACAGAGAGUUGUGAAAGAGGAAGCGGUGCGGGCUGGUGGAGUACCAGACGCUGCCGGCUUACCUGCGGGACAACGAGUACAUCCACCGCCACUACCGCUGCGAGUGGCCGCUCCUACAGCGUGAUCCGGCCCGAGGAGAUUCCGAAGGUCUUGGAAAUCAGCGGCGAGCGCAGCCUCAUCGACAAUUUUUUCUCCUACCACGUGUAAUAAUCACGGUACACAAGUUUUCCUCGAAUUUAUAUUCUAUGCUUUGUUUUUUGGUUUAUUUUUCUUUUUGUUUCAUAC